rnacentral:rRNA from 1 species
UAAGGAAUAUUGCGCAAUGGGCGAAAGCCUGAUCCAGCCAUGCCGCGUGAGUGACGAAGGCCUUAGGGUUGUAAAACUCUUUCGUCGGGGACGAUAAUGACGGUACCCGAAGAAGAAGCUCCGGCUAACUUCGUGCCAGCAGCCGCGGUAAUACGAAGGGAGCUAGCGUUGUUCGGAAUCACUGGGCGUAAAGCGCACGUAGGCGGAUAGUUAAGUCAGGGGUGAAAUCCUGGGGCUCAACCCCAGAACUGCCUUUGAUACUGGCUGUCUCGAGGUCGAGAGAGGUUGGUGGAAUUCCUAGUGUAGAGGUGAAAUUCGUAGAUAUUAGGAAGAACACCAGUGGCGAAGGCGGCCAACUGGCUCGAUACUGACGCUGAGGUGCGAAAGCGUGGGGAGCAAACAGGAUUAGAUACCCCAGUAGUCCCUGAGCGGGCUGGCAAGGCGCAU